UCCCAUUUCCUGAGUGACACAGAGCA
rnacentral:piRNA from 1 species